AGGACGGGAGCGGUGCUGAGGACAGCGGCGCCGGAGGCCCCGAUGAUGACCCAGAGCCAUCCUAGAGCAGCGCCAUCACUGCCCACGGCCCAUGACCAGCAGCAGUUCCACCACAAGCUGUGUGUUGGGUCAAGGCAGCUCCUUGGUGUUGCUCUGCUUCAUAGCUGCCCCAAAGUGCUCCUGUCGCCCUCCCAUAGGUGUCCUUUAACUGCCCCACCACCCCGUAAGGCUUCCCCACGUCCUAGCACAUCCCCCCAGGUGCGUGCAGGGUGUGCAAGAAACGCUCUCAUCCCUGAUAUUCCAUCAGGCACAGCUCUCUGUGCAACAGCAAAGCUCCUUCCUGAUUGCUGUGGCGUUACUUCACUCUCCUCAGUGAGUUCCUUCUGCUCCCGUUGGGUUGGUUGAGUUGGGUUUGUUGGGUUGAGGUGGGGGCAGGGAUCCCAGAGUUCUGGGGCCACAUGGCAUCGGGUCGCAGCGUGUUGGGGGCCGGAAGGGUCAGGGAGUCACAGGGUCUUGUGGGGGUGUGGUUCACCCAGGGCUGUGGGUCACAUAUAGCCAUGGUGUCAUGCACAUACAGGGUGAUGAGAUCAUCUUGGCUUAAGGCUCAUGUGGGGUUACGGCUCAGGGCCCCACCUUUGGGCUGCAUGGACCCCCAGUCCCCUCUCAGGAAGAAAUGAAACCCCUCCUACACCGCUGCCCCCUUCCCCCCCUUUUUUUUUUUUACCUCAAACUGCUCCCCACAUCCUCCCAUAGCACCCCAUACUCCUGCGUCCCUCUUGCAGCCCACAUCUUGUCUUCUCCUGAACAGCAUUCUGCUCCUGCAGGCUGUGUUGUCAUAUCCAUUCUAUAUCCCCCACGAUCUCCCCCACAGACCCACAUAGCUCCUCAAGUACUUUCUCUGACCGGGUACACCUCCCCCACCGCCAACCUGGGACCUCGCAGAGCCCCACAGUCCCCAGCAUCACCCCACGUCCCCCACGGUUCUUCAAGGAUCCCUCCGAUUUGAGGGAGGCUCAGACCUCCCUUUAUGCCUCAGACCCCUCCUGUGUUCUCCGACUCCCACAGUCCCUGACAGGACCCCCAUCACCAUCCCAGGACCCCCAUAGCCCACUGAUGAGGAACCUCGCAGCAAUCCACAUCUCAGGAUGGGGCUCCAGCUGUGCCCCAAUGCCUGCAUUAAAGAGAGGAGAAUGAAUGAGCGUAACGGGGCACCUUUCCUCCUGACAUUACCAACUGCCUGCGUGUUGGCUGUG
rnacentral:lncRNA from 7 species